GCCAAUGAUGAAUUAAUCCACCCUCAUGUAGGUGUAGUGAAGCCAAGUUCCUGCUUGUCAGGAAGAACCUACUUGGUGGUAGCUACAUUACAAUGACAUUAAUGGAUUUUGCUGAGGC
rfam:Jatropha curcas cultivar GZQX0401 scaffold905_18, whole genome shotgun sequence.